rnacentral:rRNA from 1 species
UACGUAGGUGGCAAGCGUUAUCCGGAUUUAUUGGGCGUAAAGGGAACGCAGGCGGUCUUUUAAGUCUGAUGUGAAAGCCUUCGGCUUAACCGGAGUAGUGCAUUGGAAACUGGGAGAGUUGAGUGCAGAAGAGGAGAGUGGAACUCCAUGUGUAGCGGUGAAAUGCGUAGAUAUAUGGAAGAACACCAGUGGCGAAAGCGGCUCUCUGGUCUGUAACUGACGCUGAGGUUCGAAAGCGUGGGUAGCAAACAGG